CUUGUCAUCACUGUUCAUAUACAAAUGGUCGAAAGGGGAGCCGACCAAACUGACGAAAGAACUACCGAAUGGCGACCACCUAUACUCUGACGUGUGUCUCUAAUUAAACUGCGGUUUCUGUGGUUAACCGCAAGAUAAUCACUUAUCCCAAGGUAGUCACCACUCAUAUGCCGAACACAAGGCGGCGGCCAUCUUUUGCCAUCGAAUGCUCAGCGGGACUUGAUCGUCAAACCCCUGGAACUAUUAUCAGACACUAGUUUGCACGGAUCCCGCUGAGGUGCCGGUUGUCCCAUCUGAUUGGACAAAAAGACACGAAAGCCAUACAGACACUUUAUUCCCGGGCCUUUCAGAGACUAUUCGUGAGAUCUGAGCGUAAUUUGUAUGUUUUGUGCGCUCAGAUCCAAGCUGUCUGGAGAUGGGUCGGAUGGGUCAUGUUAGUGUUAUCAUGUGAAAGUUAUGUAUUUUUAUCCUGUUUUCUUUUGUGGAAUAAAACGUGGGUAUUUCAUGUGCCUGGAGAUAAUUGAGUUACUGUAACCGUUGAGAUCAAUUAUCUCCAGGGUAGGGAGGAGUGUUUCAGAAAAUGCACUUUGUUCCUAUUGGCUGUGACACUGUAUUGUUCUUUGUACCAUCAGGUCCAGAGGGGUGUUCCUCUGGCCUGGAAACUUGAAUUUAAUCCGUGCAUGAGUACCCAUUAAACCAGUUCAUUUUACCCUCAACUCGCAGCCUCGACUAGCUCUACUCGUAGCUAGUGUGGAAUAUCUACAUUUCCAGGAUUAUUACUGUAUGUAGAUCGGAGCGGCGCUCUCACUCUCCAAUACUGGGAACCAGGACAUAUAAGCGGUCUAACUUCCAGCUAGCCUGGAGGCAACCGUAACAACCAGCUCUUGCUAACACUUCCUUGGAACUAUUUUCGUCUUCUACCUCGUGGCCGACUGGUCAGAACUUCCCUGCGAUGGUGAUCCAAAACUACCAAAUGGAUCUGGGUGAUCUUUGGAUAUGUUGCUCACCCAGAUCCAUGCCAUCCAUGGAUGUGACUCUUGUGGGCUUCCCAUGCAUUUUGGGGGUACUUUUGGGGUGUUCCAAAAUUGUACGCCAUCCAUGGCAGUCAUAUUGUGACAGGCCGCCACAUUUGGUGGCAAGUGGGAUCAUCCCUUUUCCUGGACUGCUAAUCUGCGGUUGGCACUGGUGUACAGUGAAUGGAAGGCUGGUACACACAGCUUAAGCUCAGCACAUUGAAAGAAUUAUUAGGAGUUUGUGGAGGUACUCCCAGCAACAAAGCCAAGCAGGUCAUAAUCAGCGAAUUAAUGGAGCUAGACCGGGAGAACUUGGCUGCGGCAACACCAACCAUUCAUGAGAAUGAGACGGAAACCAACAGGGAGAUUCGGGAAUGACUGGCACUGUUCAGGCCAAACCCAUCUCCCAAAAUAUUAAUGCAAGUAAUAAACAAUGUUACCACGAAUGCAAACC